UACGAAGGGGGCUAGCGUUGCUCGGAAUUACUGGGCGUAAAGCGCACGUAGGCGGCUCUUUAAGUCGGGGGUGAAAUCCUGGAGCUCAACUCCAGAACUGCCUUCGAUACUGGAGAGCUCGAGUCCGGGAGAGGUGAGUGGAACUGCGAGUGUAGAGGUGAAAUUCGUAGAUAUUCGCAAGAACACCAGUGGCGAAGGCGGCUCACUGGCCCGGUACUGACGCUCAGGCACGAAAGCGUGGGGAGCAAACAGG
rnacentral:rRNA from 1 species